rnacentral:rRNA from 1 species
GGCUAUUUGGAGUUAUUUAUAGUCUGGCCUGCUCACUGAUAGUUUAUAUUUAAGAGCCGCGGUAAUUUGACCGUGCAAAGGUAGCAUAAUCAUUAGUUCUUUAAUUGAGAACUCGUAUGAAUGGUCGGACAAGAGAAAAACUGUCUCUAAUAUUAAAAUUGAAUUUGACUUUUAAGUGAAAAGGCUUAAAUAUAUUAGGGGGACGAUAAGACCCUAUAAAGCUUUAUAUAUUAAGUUAAUUAAAUUUAAUUGAAGAAUAAAAAUCUAUUUAAUAAAAUAUAUUUAGUUGGGGCGACUAAGGUAUAAUUACUAAUAACUGAUUUAAGAGAAAUCAAUAAUGGUUGAUUAGUUAAUAAUUGAUCCUUUUUUAAGAUUAAAGAUGAAGUUACUUUAGGGAUAACAGCGUAAUUUUUUCUAAGAGCUCAUAUCGAAGAAAAAGUUUGCGACCUCGAUGUUGAAUUAAAAUGUCUUUAUAAUGCAGCAGUUAUAUAAGAAAGUCUGUUCGACUUUUAAAAUUUUACAUGAUUUGAGUUCAGACCGGCGUAAGCCAGGUCGGUUUCUAUCUCCUAAUGUUCGAUAGUUAUUUUAGUACGAAAGGAUUGAAUAAUUAAAAGUUUUUUAAUAAAUGAAAU